ACUCAAAUGAAUUGACGGGGACCCGCACAAACGGUGGAGCAUGUGGUUUAAUACGACGAUACGCGUGGAACCUUACCCAGACUUGACAUGUAUUUGAAAUCCUUAUGAAAGUUUGGACCCCUCGCAAGAGGCAGAUACACAGGUGUUGCAUGGCUGUCGUCAGCUCGUGUCGUGAGAUGUUGGGUUAAGUCCCGCAACGAGCGCAACCCUUAUCCUUAGUUGCCACCUACGUCUUCGGACGUAGCGCACUCUAAAGAGACUGCCGCUGAUAAAGCGGAGGAAGGUGGGGAUGACGUCAAGUCAGUACGGCCCUUACGUCUGGGGCUACACACGUGCUACAAUGGCUGGUACAAAAGGUUGCAAUACCGCGAGGUGGAGCUAAUCCCGAAAACCAGCCCCAGUUCAGAUUGCAGGCUGCAACUCGUCUGCAUGAAGCCGGAAUCGUUAGUAAUCCCGUAUCAGCCACGACGGGGUGAAUACGUUCCCGGGUCUUGUACACACCGCCCGU
rnacentral:rRNA from 1 species